UACGUAGGGGGCGAGCGUUGUCCGGAUUUACUGGGCGUAAAGAGCGCGCAGGCGGUCGAUCAAGUCGAGUGUGAAAGCCCCCGGCUCAACUGGGGAGGGUCAUUCGAUACUGAUCGACUCGAAGGCAGGAGAGGGUAGUGGAAUUCCCGGUGUAGUGGUGAAAUGCGCAGAUAUCAGGAGGAACACCGAUGGCGAAGGCAGGUCUCUGGGCCGAUACUGACGCUGAGGAGCGAAAGCGUGGGGAGCGAACAGG
rnacentral:rRNA from 1 species